rnacentral:lncRNA from 1 species
UUCAGAAUAAAAAGAUUUAUCCACAUGUUUUAAAAUAAUUAUAAAGCCACUGAAAGCCACUAAAAUGCUACAAAUUUAUUAGUUAAUAAUGUAUAGGCGUCGAUAUCUUUAGUGAAGAAAUGUGUAUUACAAGAAAAGGCCGCCAUUUGAUGUGUUUUCUAACAUCGUCGAUAUUCAAUACACGUUAGUAUAACCUAUUGCUACAUAAAACUUCAUUGUAGAACAAGACAAGACCACAAUAGAUCUGGGAAGGUCGCAGUGGGUCAGGCUGAGAUCCACCUCUAGAAAUCUAAUCUAGAACAAGACAAAGACCUUACUUGCAAACUACCAUACAUAUCUUUUAAAAAGGAUGCUAAGUGUAGUUAAGAAGUUUAGAUAAAUCUACAAUAUAUUAUCAUCAGACCAAAGGCAGGAUAAUUAUUUAA